AUUCGUAAUGAGGUGGAUGGACCUAGAGUCUGUCAUACAGAGUGAACAGUAGUGCCUCCCGUUUCUCGUCCUACACCUGGUCACUACCAUGUCCUGUACCACGGGUAUGGAGAAACGCAGUUGGGCUGGCACGGGGAGACAUACUGCCUGGUUGGUGGCUGCCGGCUCUACGGGGAUGUUCCUUUGGCCACGCCAGCUAAGGUAGAAGCAGAGAAGCCAGUCCCCAGACGUGCUCCGAAGAGAAAGCACUCUCUGGAAUGGUCGGACGAAGACCUGGGUUGCCCCAGACCCAAAAUCCGGCGAUUGGAGCUUUCAAGCAGCACAGGAAUACAAGAUGCUCCUUUGGCCAUGCCAGCCAAGGUGGAAGCAGAGAAGCCAGUCCCCAGACGUGCUCCGAAGAGAAAGCACUCUCCGGAAAUGCCGGACGAAGACCUGGGUUGCUCCAGACCCAAAAUCCGGCAAUUGUAGCAUGGUGCCAGGAGGCGGACCCCACAGAAUCUUGCAGGGGCCCCUUUGUGAGCUGAAGAAAGAAAA